rnacentral:rRNA from 1 species
ACGUAGGGUACAAGCGUUGUCCGGAAUUACUGGGUGUAAAGGGAGCGCAGGCGGACCGGCAAGUUGGAAGUGAAAACUAUGGGCUCAACCCAUAAAUUGCUUUCAAAACUGCUGGCCUUGAGUAGUGCAGAGGUAGGUGGAAUUCCCGGUGUAGCGGUGGAAUGCGUAGAUAUCGGGAGGAACACCAGUGGCGAAGGCGACCUACUGGGCACCAACUGACGCUGAGGCUCGAAAGCAUGGGUAGCAAACAG